AAGUCAUGGGUUGGUCAUCUUUUUAGUAACAGUUUAAACCUCUCCCAAGCAUCAUAGAGAGAUUCACCGUCACCUUGCAUAAAAUUUGUGAGCUCAUGUCUUUUCUC
rfam:Medicago truncatula strain A17 chromosome 5, whole genome shotgun sequence.